rnacentral:rRNA from 1 species
UACCCGCAGCACAAGUGGUGGUCAUUAUUAUUGGGCCUAAAGCGUCCGUAGCUGGCUUGUUAGAUGCCUGGGUAAAUCGAUGCGCUCAACGUAUCGAACUCCGGGUAGACCGGCAAGCUUGGGACCGGGAGAGGCGUGAGCUACUCGGGGGGUAGGGGUAAAAUCCUGUAAUCCUCCGGGGAGGACCAGUGGCGAAGGCGUCACGCUAGGACGGCUCCGACAGUGAGGGACGAAGCCCUGGGGCGCAAACCGG